UACGUAGGGUGCGAGCGUUAAUCGGAAUUACUGGGCGUAAAGCGUGCGCAGGCGGUGCUGUAAGACCGAUGUGAAAUCCCCGGGCUUAACCUGGGAACUGCAUUGGUGACUGCAGCGCUGGAGUAUGGCAGAGGGGGGUGGAAUUCCACGUGUAGCAGUGAAAUGCGUAGAGAUGUGGAGGAACACCGAUGGCGAAGGCAGCCCCCUGGGCCAAUACUGACGCCUCAUGCACGAAAGCGUGGGGAGCAAACAAG
rnacentral:rRNA from 1 species